rnacentral:misc_RNA from 1 species
AUUGUUCCCUGUGAUAUCCAAUUUCACUAUAGGAACAAGAUGGAAUUCUCUUUUGGUCCAAAGGGAUGGGUACCUGCUGAACAGCUGCAAGAAAAAUCUACUGAUGAAUGUGUCUAUGCUUUGGGUCUGCAUGCCCCUGGAUUUUUUGAUAAAGUUUUAAAUGUGAAUAAGUGCUUAUUGCAAAGUGAUUCAGCAAAUGAGGUUCUCGCAACUGU